UACGGAGGAUCCGAGCGUUAUCCGGAUUUAUUGGGUUUAAAGGGAGCGUAGGUGGAUUGUUAAGUCAGUUGUGAAAGUUUGCGGCUCAACCGUAAAAUUGCAGUUGAAACUGGCAGUCUUGAGUACAGUAGAGGUGGGCGGAAUUCGUGGUGUAGCGGUGAAAUGCUUAGAUAUCACGAAGAACUCCGAUUGCGAAGGCGGCUCACUAGACUGUUACUGACACUGAUGCUCGAAAGUGUGGGUAUCAAACAGG
rnacentral:rRNA from 1 species